ensembl:lncRNA
ACAACAAUGACAAGGCUGCUUAUUUUCUCACCACCUGGAUUUUGUUCUCUUUUGUUUUCACAGAAGACACACACUGUCUCUGAAAGACGCUGAGGGAAGGUGAGCUUCAUUGGCUUGACUGUAUUUUUAUUUACAAACCAUAUUGAUCUGUGACUUUACAUGCUCACAUCAGCUAGUUUAUCAAUCAUGAUGCAAAACAAAUUCUUACUCCACAUUUAAAUCAAGAUGUAUUAACUUGAAAUGCUAUAUGACNGAUUUUGCUUCUCAAGUAAAUGUAUUUUGAUGUGAGAAUGUUUAGAUAUUUGUAUUGGGAAACCAGACAAAAAUACUAAGAAGUUGAUUUUUUUUAGUUGGUUUUUGUAACUGAAUGUGCUUGUUUUGGCAGGACACAUGAGUUGGUGGAUGUGCAUGAGGAAGAGCAGCAGACCAUCACUGUGCAGGUGGAGGUGAAGAGAGAGAGAGAAGACGAGGAGGAGGAGGAGCCAGACGUCUGCCAGAAAUCACCACACUCAGUGACAGACGUUCCUCCUCCAGACACUGAUGACCUCGUUUCAGAAACAGCACCCUUUGCCCAGGAAACCGUCUCCCAGACAGAACUUCCUGGUGACACCCAGACGACACUUCCUGUUGAAACAGCUCCUCUGACAGAAAGCGGGGCCCUGGUGUCAGCUCCGGCCCCUGAAGCAGCUUCCAGCCCAAACACACAGCGUCUCUCAGAGUCUCUGGAGGAAGAGCUCGCCUCAAACACUGACAUCUACUUUGUGAGUAUGAGCCUCAUCGUAGGACGGAGCAUCAAACUCAGCAUCUGGAUUUGAUCAGGAAUUGUUUUGUUGGCGGUCUGAUUUACAGCAGCGUAAUGCUGUCAUGUUAGCAGAAGUUCAUAUUGAGUUUAUGAAGUGUUAUACAUACAGGGUUCCCACAGUUACAAAAACAAAUAUGAACAUACAUUUGAAAGUGUGCUGAAAAUGUGAACAACAGUGUUAUUUU